rnacentral:rRNA from 1 species
AGUGAACGCUGGCGGUAGGCCUAACACAUGCAAGUCGAACGGCAGCACAGUAAGAGCUUGCUCUUACGGGUGGCGAGUGGCGGACGGGUGAGGAAUACAUCGGAAUCUACUUUUUCGUGGGGGAUAACGUAGGGAAACUUACGCUAAUACCGCAUACGCUCUAUGGGUGAAAGCAGGGGAUCUUCGCACCUUGCGCGAUUGAAUGCGCCGAUGUUGGAUUAGCUAGUUGGCGGGGUAAAGGCCCACCAAGGCGACGAUCGGUAGCUGGACUGAGAGGCUGAUCAGCCACAUGGGAAGUUAGACACGGUCCAGGCUCCUACGAGAGGCAGCAGUGGGGAAUGUGGGACAAUGGGCGCAAGCCUGAUCCAGCCAUAGCGCGUGGGUGAAGAAGGCCUUCGGGUUGGAAAGCCCUUUUGUUGGGAAAGAAAAGCAGCAGGUUAAUACCCCGCUGUUCUGACGGUACCCAAAGAAUAAGCACCGGCUAACUUCGUG